AGAACGAACGCUGGCGGCAUGCCUAACACAUGCAAGUCGAACGAGACCUUCGGGUCUAGUGGCGCACGGGUGCGUAACGCGUGGGAAUCUGCCCUUGGGUUCGGAAUAACAGUUGGAAACGACUGCUAAUACCGGAUGAUGACGUAAGUCCAAAGAUUUAUCGCCCAGGGAUGAGCCCGCGUAGGAUUAGCUAGUUGGUGAGGUAAAGGCUCACCAAGGCGACGAUCCUUAGCUGGUCUGAGAGAUGAUCAGCCACACUGGGACUGAGACGACGGCCCAGACUCCGUACGGGAGGCAGCAGGUACGGGGAAUAGUUAGGAC
rnacentral:rRNA from 1 species